rnacentral:rRNA from 1 species
GCAGUCGAGCGGAACGAGUUGUCUGAACCUUCGGGGAACGAUAACGGCGUCGAGCGGCGGACGGGUGAGUAAUGCCUGGGAAAUUGCCCUGAUGUGGGGGAUAACCAUUGGAAACGAUGGCUAAUACCGCAUAAUAGCUUCGGCUCAAAGAGGGGGACCUUCGGGCCUCUCGCGUCAGGAUAUGCCCAGGUGGGAUUAGCUAGUUGGUGAGGUAAGGGCUCACCAAGGCGACGAUCCCUAGCUGGUCUGAGAGGAUGAUCAGCCACACUGGAACUGAGACACGGUCCAGACUCCUACGGGAGGCAGCAGUGGGGAAUAUUGCACAAUGGGCGCAAGCCUGAUGCAGCCAUGCCGCGUGUAUGAAGAAGGCCUUCGGGUUGUAAAGUACUUUCAGCAGUGAGGAAGGUGGUGUACUUAAUACGUGCAUCAUUUGACGUUAGCUGCAGAAGAAGCACCGGCUAACUCCGUGCCAGCAGCCGCGGUAAUACGGAGGGUGCGAGCGUUAAUCGGAAUUACUGGGCGUAAAGCGCAUGCAGGUGGUUUGUUAAGUCAGAUGUGAAAGCCCGGGGCUCAACCUCGGAAUUGCAUUUGAAACUGGCAGACUAGAGUACUGUAGAGGGGGGUAGAAUUUCAGGUGUAGCGGUGAAAUGCGUAGAGAUCUGAAGGAAUACCGGUGGCGAAGGCGGCCCCCUGGACAGAUACUGACACUCAGAUGCGAAAGCGUGGGGAGCAAACAGGAUUAGAUAC